UACAGAGGUCCCAAGCGUUGUUCGGAUUCACUGGGCGUAAAGGGUGCGCAGGUGGUCGGGUAAGUCUGAUGUGAAAUCCCGCAGCUUAACUGCGGAAUGGCAUUGGAUACUAUUCGGCUAGAGGGUUGGAGGGGGGACUGGAAUUCUCGGUGUAGCAGUGAAAUGCGUAGAUAUCGAGAGGAACACCAGUGGCGAAGGCGGCUCACUGGUCCGGUACUGACGCUGAGGUGCGAAAGCGUGGGGAGCAAACAGG
rnacentral:rRNA from 1 species